GAGUUUAGACGUAAAUCUGCGUUUAGACGUAAACUGCGCUUAGACGCAAAACUGCGCUUAGACGCAAACUGUGUUUAGACGCAAACUGCGCUUAGACGCAAACUGUGUUUAGACGCAAACUGCGCUUAGACGCAAUCUGCGCUUAGACGCAAACUGCACUUAGAUACAAACUGAGAAUUAGCUUUUGCAUCAUAAUAGUUUUUAUUGAACGAACGCAGCUUUUGGUUUUAAUCGCUGUAAGAUUUCCGCUGCACUAAUUCACC
rnacentral:lncRNA from 1 species